rnacentral:miRNA from 1 species
GUCUGUGUGUGUGUGUGUGUGUGUCUCUGUAUGUAUGUGUCUGUGUCAUACAGACACAUACAUACAGAGACCCCCACAGACACAUAC